AGAACGUCUAUUGUCUCUGACGAGCUGCCAGAAAUAGUAAGUACAUUUCUGUAUAAUGGAAACUUUGUACAAACUUGCACGAAUUGCCGUUUGUGGAAGACUCAAAAAUGCCUUGGAUGUUUAUCAAUUGGAGUUACCACAAACUAUACGGGAAGAUAUUUUAUUGGAAUUUCGUUAUUCAAAAUUUAAUUUCAUGUUAAAUUCGUAUAGACUGCCAGAAUGUUAUAUAUUUGAUAAAAGUGAAAAUGUUCCCACGAUUCCUGAAAUAGUAAAUGAUGCAGUAGAAGCUUGUGCAAAAAUAAGAGCGAGAAUUCCAGUUCCGUGGGAAACACUCGGUUUGAUUACAAUGUCUUUUUUUGAUAUUAGUACAUUCUGGCAAAGUAGAUUCAAAAUUAAAGUAUUUUUUUACGAAGUUACUUACAAACAUUUCGUAUAUACUAUUUGUGAGAAUUGUUUAUACAAAUUAUCCGAUUCAUGGCGAAACCCGCUACUGCAACCACUUCUAAUUGCAAUGAGAAUUAAUAUGGUAACCAAGGCACCAUCAUUUUCAUAUGGUGUAACUUGUCCGCCACAUAUUAAACAAUAUAGUCAUUGGUGCAUGUUUUGUGCAAAUAGUCCAUUGUUCAGAAGUGUACCUUGUGGUGGCUCGUUAAGCACUGUAUCUGAUUCAGAGGAAGACGAUGAAGUUGGCAGUAUUGGCGCUCGCUGUAUUGCAGUAGUUCGAGUAACGAAGAUUUUUGUGAGCGGAAAACUGCACAGCCGGCGACUUCUUUAUGAAGAGGUGUGAGUACUGCAUCUGUCUUGGAGGCGGGCAGGCGGCCUGCACCAAAAUCUACUGCGGAGACCCCGGCGGCGCGCAGCCGCUCACGUGACCAUAAGAGGCCGGGCACGUGACUCCCGGGGAAUGCCCCAGGCCUCACCCGCUCAUCAUCAAAGCCUUACGUGAUACGGAUUACACUGGAUAAAGUA